rnacentral:tRNA from 1 species
GGACUUUUAGUAUAUAUUAGUAUUCCUAAUUGCAGAUUGGGAGGUUUUUAGGUCUU